GAUACAUCAUACACGGCUGCCUUCAUAGCUACUCUGGUAGCUAUUCUUGAGAUCAGGAUCUGUUUGGGUUGCAAAACAGUCUCUGGAAUCAAAAUAGUCAUUGAAUAUAGUGUUCCGAUUAUCUAAAAGUGUUGUUGGUUAACUUGGAUUUCCUUCCAGACUGAAUCCAACUCCUCCAGUGGUUCAACCUCCGUGAUUUGCAAAUUGUUGCUUCUUUGUUUCCGAUUAACUGGAAUACUAUAUCUAAUAUUGAGAUCACAGAAAACGUACAUCGUUUCUGUUCUUGUCCAAAAUUGUUUCUCUCUCUCUCUCUCGCCUGAAUAGUUUCUGAAGAGUCAGGUUUCUUCUUUGUUGUUUCACUUUCUCGGUUUGUCCGAUGAUCGUCUCUUCUCCCAAUUUUAUGGGCCUAUUGGGCCUUUUUACUUCACAAUUUAUGGGCUUUCGUAUCAAAAAUACAAAAUAAACAAAAAAAUAAUUUACGGGUUAAAACUUAAAACCCCACGAUUGGAAUGGGUGCAAAAUAAACCAGUCCUAAAAAGUAAAAACUGACAAAUGAAAGAGAUUUGAGAAACUUAAAAGCAUACAAAUAUGAACUAUACCCAUAAUGGAAAGCUAAUAGAGUUAAGACUU